CCCCUUCCCCACCCCCAGGCUAUCUCUCCGGCAAAUUCUGAAGCUAAGCGAGUCCCCCCCGCAUCCUUGCUGAAUCCGGCGCCGGCUUUAAAGAGUGAAGGGUCUGGGUCUCUCCGUUUCAAGAGCACUGGCAGGUCUAUGGCUGCUUCACCGGCAGCCCGAGCGGGGUCGAGGAAAGUCUGCAGUGCUCCACACGGCCCCCGACCCCUAGCUUAAGUGGCCGGCCUUUCGGCUUUGGCUUGUCGCGUCCAGCCCACCCUGCGCUCCGGUGUAGCUCUUGCGAACUAGCAUUAUCGACUGUAUGCGCCACCCUCCGAGGGGAGCGGAAGGUCGGUGCAAGUAUCUUAUUCCUCUAUUUGGCCCUCUCAGCGCCCAGAGAGAGGCUUUGAGCGUGGCAGGUGGUUCAAGUGACCCUAGAAUCUCGAGAGGAGUGCGCCGGAGGUGGAAAAAGAAGGUGCCCUAGUGCUAGCUGGACUUCUUGGUUUUCCAAUCAGCAGAACCUUCUCCUGCGUGCUGGAGAACUCCACCUUCGCCUCCUUGGUUCCAGACACAACACCUUUCAGUUGAUCCACGCAGCUUUUCUGAAGCUUCUUUACUUUCCCACAGACCUGAGAACCCGGAUUUUUAAUGCACACCUAUCCAGGAUUUUAUGAGACUCUUGUGGCCCUAGACUCCAAGAGCUUCAGAAGUAAUUUCCCCACUCAGCAACAGAGGGGAAAUAGCAGGAAAGGAAUUUAAGUUUCUUCUAUGAGAGAGGCUGGGUCAGUGCCUGGCACAUAAUAUAUGCUUAGCAAAUAUGAUACUUGCUGGUUUGAACGGACUAAAAGGAUGCUCACUGGAGCAAGGACAAGCGAUUUGAAACUGGAUUGCCAGUUGGCUUCUGGAAUCAAUUGCUUAUGAACUGGACAUGGUGAGGUGGAUGUUAUCUGGGCCACUAAGAAAUUGGGUCUGAAAAUACCUCCAGGGUCUGUCCCAAACUGACCUGAAAAGUCUGUAAAGAGAAUACACUUUGGGCACCAGGGUGGGUUUGGGGAAACAGCAGACAACUCAGGACUUUUGAGUUCGUCCCUCCCGGAGCAAAAGCUUGAACCGACACAACCGGCUGAAAUCCUCCCUGGUUCCUCCCUCCUGCAAACGACUUUGAUAUUUAUUGCAGCUGCCUGCGUUUGCAGCGCUCUCCCGGCUCUGCUCCGUCCCAGAAGAGGCACCGGCACGUCUCGCUGCCCGCGUCCUGUAGCCCUACCUCUGUGCAGCCCUUCCCUCCCCAGUAAAAUGUUCUCAGCGCACAAAAGCCGCCGCUGAAGGGAAGGAACAGCUUCGGGCCGAGAGGGAGGGAGCUGGCCGGCUGCACCAUCUGCAGUGGAAAACGGACGCCGCUCACCCCGCCUAGGAAACUAAUGGAGCGUCCCUAAGAGACCCAAACUCCAGCUUGGCUCACCCCAGCUUUCUCCCCCACCUCCAGACCCCCAGGUGAGACAGCCCCGUCAGCCUGCCUGUGGAAGGGCGCUUGCAGCCAGCUUCCGAUCCCGGAAUUCGACCGGAAUCUUGAGCAGGUUUUGUUUUGUGAAAAGAAAUGUUGUCAUCACCGGUUUUUUCCCCCCUUUGUUUUCCAGCAUUUUCUUUUCUUGUGGUAACUUAAAACAUUUCCUCUGGGGAUGGGGUGAGAAGAGUCGGACAUAAAUGUUUGCCAGUGCAAAGUC